UGAGGAACAUGACCUUCGGCGGGGGAUAGCCGACCCAACGGCCGGGUAAUACCGCGUACGACCACUU
rnacentral:rRNA from 1 species